rnacentral:rRNA from 1 species
ACCCGCACAAGCGGUGGAUGAUGUGGUUUAAUUCGAUGCAACGCGAAAACCUUACCCACCUUUGACAUGGCAGGAAUCCUGAAGAGAUUUGGGAGUGCUCGAAAGAGAACCUGCACACAGGUGCUGCAUGGCUGUCGUCAGCUCGUGUCGUGAGAUGUUGAGUUAAGUCCCGCAACGAGCGCAACCCUUGCCAUUAGUUGCUACGAAAGGGCACUCUAAUGGGACUGCCGGUGACAAACCGGAGGAAGGUGGGGAUGACGUCAAGUCCUCAUGGCCCUUAUAGGUGGGGCUACACACGUCAUACAAUGGCCGGUACAGAGGGUAGCCAACCCGCGAGGGGGAGCCAAUCCCACAAAGCCGGUCGUAGUCCGGAUCGCAGUCUGCAACUCGACUGCGUGAAGUCGGAAUCGCUAGUAAUCGCGGAUCAGCAUGUCGCGGUGAAUACGUUCCCGGGUCUU